rnacentral:rRNA from 1 species
GACGUAGGGCGCGAGCGUUGUCCGGAUUUAUUGGGCGUAAAGAGCUCGUGAGCGGCUUGUCGCGUCGGGGAGUGAAAAACUCGGAGCUCAACUCCGAGCCUGCUUCCGAUACGGGGCAGACUAGAGGUAGGCAGGGGAGAGCGGAACUCCUGGUGUAGCGGUGGAAUGCGCAGAUAUCAGGAAGAACACCCGUGGCGAAGGCGGUUCUCUGGGACGGUACUGACGCUGAGACGCGAAAGCGUGGGGAGCGAACAGG